GGGAGCUGCUGGUACCAGUCGAAGUUUUGGUACUUGGUGGUGAACACGCAGGACAGGGUGGAGACCUCCCCUUCCCCAGUAAACAGUGACUGGGGGCUCUGAUCCACUUGGGCUUCGCAGCAGGAGACUGAAGGGAAACAAACGAACAGUUGAAAUGUAGCAUUCAAGUGUAGAAUCUUCCCGACUCUGAAAAGAGGCAAGAAAUGCAAACAAAGACCCCUGGGACAAUAUGACUAUUCCUGCAGUAUCUCAGCACCACACAGACAUGAAUGGAUUUAGCCUGGGAUGUUCAAAGGAACCCAAGGGAGUUAGGAACCCAUGUCCUGUUGAAUUUCAGUGAAGUUUGGCUACCUAGAUCCUAUAGCUCUCUUUGGCAAUCCCAACCUUGAAUUCAACAGAACAUGGGUUCAUAACCUGCUGGCCUCGGGAGAAUGCUACCCAGCAGCGGUUAGUGGGGCAGCCCCUGGAAGAUGGGAAAUGCAGCCCCCUGCACAUCACGGACUCCCAGCUGGGGGACUCAGACAGUUACCUCCGUGCAGUGAGAGCAGAGUGAGUCUGUUAUAUUUGAGACUUUGAGAGUGUGCAUUUGUGUUUGAUCUGCAUGUGAGUGAUUUUGGUAUAUGUGCUAGUUUGUGUGUGAGUGAGUGUGUCAUUUUGUGAGUGUGGCAAUGAGAGAAUUUGGGACGUGUGUGUGUGAGUGACUGUGGGUGUUUGAUGUAUGUAAGAGCAACUUUGGUAUAUAUGUGAUUCUGGGUGUGAGUGACUUUGUUUGCGUGAAUUGUAAGUUCACAUAUGUAUGAAUUUGUAUGUGUAAGAGAGAGGGAAAGAGAGAGAGACUUUGU